UCCCAGCACCUGAAGCAUCUCAGCAGCUC
rnacentral:sRNA from 1 species